AGAAAUCCCUAAUUUUUCAAUCUCUUCCAUUUGCAGCCGCUUCUUCCUCAACAUAUCAUCUCCUUCCCAAACUAAUCGCCUUCUUCGACGUCCGGCGUCCAAUUCUUCCGCCCCGAUAUUCUUUCUCCACGUCCGAUUUUCUUGCGCCCAGUUUAUCUUCCUGCCUGAUAUUCUUCCGCCCCAAUUUGCUGUCUGCCCCGAUUUGCCAUCGCCCACAUUCGAUUUCUCUUCUGCCUGUGGUUGGACGGACUUCCGCCGACCGUCCGUCUUCUGCUGACCGUGUGUCUUCCGCCGACGGUUCAACGUCGGCCAACUGUUUCGCCUCCUCCCACGCAUCAACGUCCGCCCAAUCUUCUGCCAACAACCGGUCACAUGUAUAUGGGGCUCAACGAUCUGUUUGCUAAAUGAAUUAUCUCUAUCUAAAUGUGUUGCCUUCAAAUGGUAUUAAUAAUUAUUAUUUGGUUAUUGCUCUAGUGAACUCGUAAGUUCAAUUCUCUCUUACCUUUUCUUGAGUGACUAAUUUUAAUAAUAUGAGUCAAGUUUUAGUUGACAAUCUCUGACCUUCUACUAUAUUUGCUGUCGGUGUAUCAAGAUUUGGACUAUUAUUGCUUGAAGUUAUGAAAGUAAGUUAGCUUGCGUUAGAUUCAUUGGUCUUGUAAUCUGUUAUUAGAAUUUUGUCAUAGUAAAUGUCCUGUGUAUUUCAGGUAUUGGGCUGGACAGUCACUUGUUAGAAAUUUUCAUUGAUAUAUCUAACGAAAGUUUAAGUUUAGAAUGUGAAAUUUUGGAUGCAUUAUGUGUAUACGAUUUUCUUGACUUCCACAGGAAUUUUAGGUAUUUUGCAUUGCCACAUUGUUAUACCAAACAUGUGCUUUUCUUCUGUUUCACCUACACAAACACAAUUUUUGCAAUUUCUGACACCCAUAAAAAAAAGAGUAUAGAUAAAUCUCAAAAAAUACAUCGCUAGAAAGAGGAACAUAAAAUUGCACAUUGCAUUUGCAAGUGGGUAUUGUGUUAGGAAGAUAGUGUAAGAAAGCUUGAGUUACUCUCAAUAUAAGCAGCAUCUCUAGAAAUGAAUAUACACUAUUCAUUUGAACUUCAGAAUUUUAUCUGUAUUCAAAGAUGAAACAGGCAAUCUUCAAGCCUCUAGAGUUUCUGGUGUUCAUAUUGGCAAUUGCAUCCUUUUUUAGGCAAGGUAAAGCCAAGUUCUGUUCUAACAGUCUAAUUUACUCUCUAAUUUACAAUUGUCAAGUAUCUUUUUCAGUACACAAGCAGCAUUUCUUUGAACGGGGCAAUUUUCUAAAUUACGACUUUGUCUGUUUCCAAGGAUGAAUUUUGUUUAGCUCGUUCAUGUUUCCACUGCUCGGAUCUAGGGGUUUUCUACUGGGUGUUUUCAAUUUUGUUAAUGAAGUUUUGGGUUUCUGAUAACUUUAUAUCUCCUCCAAGAAGGUAUGUUUUAGAAUUGUCAUAUGUUAUUUAAUUUCUUUCAUUGAUUUUCUCAAUGCUUUUGGUUUGACCUUUCAGUAUGAUCUAUAAUGGUUGGUGAUUGUGAAUUUGAAUUCCAGUAUAGGUAUCUAGUUGGCCUGCUGCAAUUGUUCACCGAAGAAUUUGAUAAUGUGCAUUGGGAUUGUUGGUAAUGACAAUUUUCAUCAAAUAAGUAUGGAUUUGUUAGUACUAACUAGGUCUGUUGUUUUUAUAUUGGGAUGAAUUAAUUUUCAUCAAAUAAGUAUGGAUUCGUUAGUUUGGAUUAUGUGCAUUGGGAUUAUUUAGCAUUAUCUAAUUUCUCAUGUAUCAUCUGGAUUGACUUAAUCUCUCGCUGAAUGUACCUUUUUUUAUGACUUUAAUGUUCUUCCAGGUCGGUUAUUUUUAUAUUGCUUAGUUAGAUCACCAAAUGCAAGCACAUACUACUUCAUGUUGUAUUCUCUAUAUCUUUUCUCUAUUUUCUCUGCAAAGAAAAUGGAUUGUCUAUCCUUUUGUAGUGAUAUUUAAAAUGAGGUUUUGCUUGAUGCUGAUGAAGAAGAGAAGGAAAGUAUUCUUUUUAGACAUAGUGAGAAGCUAGCCAUUUCCUCCAUUUUUUUGAUAGAAAAAGAUCCAAGUAGGACUGUUUCUCUAUUUGGGCGGUGAUAAAUGUCGGUGAUCGAGUGGAUAGUGCACUGAAAGACAUGGCUGUAGUGAUGAAGCAGCUGGACAGCUCUGAUGAAGCGAUUGAGGCUAUCAAAUCCUUUUCUUUAAACGAUCUUUUCCUUUCGUAGAUUCAAUUUCUUUUAUGUUGGGAUGGUUAUCUUAGGACUUGAUAGUUUGGCAUAGAAAUUUUUUGUAGUCGAUAAUAUUGUUGAAUUCUAGUCGAAAAGCUUGUUUGCUGGGCGUAAAGGAAAAUCUUAUAUUAAUCUUCUUCAGGUAAGUGUACUUUAAGAGAUGUUAUUCAACUUAUGUAUUGGACUAUAAAGUUGAACAAGGAGAAUUAGUUCUAAAUUGUGUUGGUGAUAUGUAAAUUAUUCUAAAUUAGUUCUAAUGAUAUGUAGAUUUACCCUUUUAUUAUUUUCCUGUUUAGUUGGUUCAAGAUACUUGAAAAACCCUGAAGUGCUUGACAAAGUAGGAAUAGGAAUAAAGCCUCCUCAUGGAGUUCUUUCGAAAGGACCUCCUCGCUAUGGUAAGUUUCAAUGUGUUGCCAUACCGUUGUAUACUUGGGGAGACUUUUUUGUUUUAGCUAUUAUGAAAUGGAGUUCUCUUCUAAGCAUUAGUCCAUGCCGAGGAAUUUAUCGACUUAAAACUGAACAAUCAGUUUUUUGCCUUGUUUGCCACACGACACAAGAAAUACUGUUCAGGUUUUGCCAGAAUCUAUUGGAGCAACGAAGUCAUAUUUGCAGCAAUUCAUUGAUGUAUAGGCAUUUUUGUAGGUUUGGUAGGAAAAUUUCUGGUUUAAAUGUAGUUAUUUAGAUAGCUUGUUCGUAAUAAACCAUAUAUGUACCAAUACUUAAAGCGAUAUUAUAAAGUGUAUAUUUCUUUAUAUUAAAGCGUCCAUCGUUUCUUUC